rnacentral:lncRNA from 1 species
CUUGUCUUAUGUAGGCUCACCUAGCUUGUAUUUGUGCAACUUAGCGCUUGUUGCAGUUUGCGCACCGCAGCACCUCCUAUGUUGCAGGAUCUGAAUCUGGAUCCCUUGAAGGCAGUUGCAAAAGCACCUAUGUUGCAACAAUUUCUUCCGCAACGGUACCUUUGUUGCAGAAAGAUGAAGGGAAAAAUUAUGCAAACUGACCUAUGUUGCAAAAGUUUUCUGCAACAUGACCUUUGUUGCAAAAAAUUCUUACGCAACAGUACCUAUGCUGCACAAAGACGAAGAAAAAAUUCUGCAACAAAGCAAUUGUUUCUGCAACUCGACCGUUGUUUUAAG